rnacentral:rRNA from 1 species
GUACCAAAGUAUUUAUCCGACCGAAGGAUGACGCCCGCGUAGGAUUAGCUAGUUGGUGAGGUAAAAGGCUCACCAAGGCGACGAUCCUUAGCUGGUCUGAGGGGAUGAUCAGCCACACUGGGACUGAGACACGGCCCAGACUCCUACGGGAGGCAGCAGUGGGGAAUAUUGGACAAUGGGCGAAAGCCUGAUCCAGCAAUGCCGCGUGAGUGAUGAAGGCCUUAGGGUUGUAAAGCUCUUUUACCCGGGAUGAUAAUGACAGUACCGGGAGAAUAAGCUCCGGCUAACUCCGUG